GAAGCAAGCCAGACAGCCGCUGGCCAUCGUUGAUGGCGGGAGGAAGGUCCGGACUCCACAGAGCAGGGUGACGGCUAACGGCCGUCCGCCGAAAGUCCGCAAGGAUACAAGGCGAGGAACAGGGCCACAGAGACGAGCGUAUUCAGUUACGGUGAAACGCGGUAACCUCCACCUGGAGCAAUCUCAAAUAGGCACGCGAUGAUGUUGCUCGCGGAGCGUGCGGGUAGAGAGCUUGAGCCGUGGAGCAAUUCACGGCCUAGAGGAAUGGCUGUCAUAGCGGCCGGGCGCAAGCCCGUCCGCCGUAACAGAAUCCGGCCUAUCGGCUUGCUUCACCU
rnacentral:RNase_P_RNA from 1 species